GUGCCUAACACAUGCAAGUCGAACGAGAAAGUGGAGCAAUCCAUGAGUACAGUGGCGACCGGGUGAGUAACACGUGACCAAUCUACCCUCGAGUGGGGAAUAACUCCGGGAAACUGGAGCUAAUACCGCAUAACAUCAUCGGAACUCAAGUUCUGGUGAUCAAAGGAGCAAUUCGCUUGAGGAGGAGGUCGCGGCUGAUUAGCUAGUUGGCGGGGUAAUGGCCCACCAAGGCUUAGAUCGGUAUCCGGCCUGAGAGGGCGCACGGACACACUGGAACUGAAACACGGUCCAG
rnacentral:rRNA from 1 species